rnacentral:rRNA from 1 species
GAAUUGACGGGGGCCCGCACAAGCGGUGGAGCAUGUGGUUUAAUUCGAUGCAACGCGAAGAACCUUACCUGGUCUUGACAUCCACAGAACUUUCCAGAGAUGGAUUGGUGCCUUCGGGAACUGUGAGACAGGUGCUGCAUGGCUGUCGUCAGCUCGUGUUGUGAAAUGUUGGGUUAAGUCCCGCAACGAGCGCAACCCUUAUCCUUUGUUGCCAGCGGUCCGGCCGGGAACUCAAAGGAGACUGCCAGUGAUAAACUGGAGGAAGGUGGGGAUGACGUCAAGUCAUCAUGGCCCUUACGACCAGGGCUACACACGUGCUACAAUGGCAUAUACAAAGAGAAGCGACCUCGCGAGAGCAAGCGGACCUCAUAAAGUAUGUCGUAGUCCGGAUUGGAGUCUGCAACUCGACUCCAUGAAGUCGGAAUCGCUAGUAAUCGUAGAUCAGAAUGCUACGGUGAAUACGUUCCCGGGCCUUGUACACACCGCCCGUCACACCAUGGGAGUGGGUUGCAAAAGAAGUAGGUAGCUUAACCUUCGGGAGGGCGCUUACCACUUUGUGAUUCAUGACUGGGGUGAAGUCGUAACAAGGUAACCGUAGGGGAACCUGCGGUUGGAUCACCUCCUUACCUUAAAGAA